CUCUCGUCUCAAAUUGGACGAUAAACUCCAAUUCCGCUGCCAAACAAUGCCAGAAAUAUCUUUUUAUUACGUCAUUCUCUUUACGGCUAUCCCUUGCCCUCUCGCCUCAACAAAUGAUAUAUUGUGUAAAAGCAUAGAUUGUUGAAGCACUCCAUAAAUUGGAAUAAAUCUGUAGAUUGUGUGCACAGGAGUGGCAGUUGGUGCACUUCUUGGUUCAGAGAAUGAAGGAAAUUUAGCCUAACAUUCAGCUCAAAUUCUGGGGCGUCUACGCAACUGUAAGCUUUGAGUUGUAAUUACUUCCUAUGUUGUGGGUUGUGGAGCAGGAUUUACUACUCAGCGACACUAGACCAUGGUUUGAGAGGUUGCUGGAGAGCAGUUGAGGGCUUCGACUUGUGAAGUAGUUUCUUGUUAAAAUUUUGAGGGUUGACUGCAAAUCUCUCGUCGAAGCGGCUAAAUCUUCUUCUGGAAAUAUGAAGACUAUGAGCCACUCGGCAUUGUCACCAGCUCCAGUGAUAUGUGGCAGGAACGCCUCACCUCUCCCAACUAAGUCUAAAUGUUUUCUGCUAAUCAAUAAUUCGUGUAGACUAUGGAGUGGUCCAUUGCCAACGAGGGGCGGUGGAAAAUGUCACCUCGGUCACCAGGAUUUAGUCUCUACAGUGCUCCAAGCGCGCGCUAAAGCGCCCCUUUCUUCUUCUGAAGAGAAGCAAACUUCAAGAACUGACGUUGUCUUUGAAGACCACGAGAAUACAGGAGUGAGAAAUAUUUGCGUAGAGAUCUGCGACACAACCUCCCGGAUGCAAUUGGCUGCUGGGUUUUCUGUCGCAGUUGCUUUCUUAGUGGCCUUCACGGACGUCGGCUCUGCGAUUGCCAGGCCAGGUGAGAUUGAUUUGCCGCCCAUUGAGCCGGAGGUUGCGACCGUCUCCAGUGCGAAAGAGAUCAACCUGGCGAAGCAGCUGAGAGCCAUAGGGGCCAAAAUGUACGGCGCAUUUUGGUGCUCGCAUUGUUUUGAGCAAAAACAGAUGUUCGGAAAGGAGGCAUUGAAGUAUAUCGACUACGUGGAGUGCUAUCCUGAAGGGUAUAGAAGGGGUGUGAAACUUGCUGCUGCAUGCUCUGCUGCUAACAUCCAAGGAUUCCCGACAUGGAUCAUCAAUGGCCAGCAAUACUCUGGAGAACAAGAGUUCGAUAAAUUGGCCGAGCUCUCGGGGUUCAAUACCCCACGAGUGAUGAAAUGAAAAGCUUUUCAAAGUGUGCAAUUUGCAGGCUACUUUGGUGCCUUUGAACGGUUUGCACGCUACCGAGGUUCUCGACAGGCACAUACCAUACUCGCAGAGAAUUGGACGACUAUCUUUGGAUUUCCGUUUUCGUGAUCCAUAGCUAACCAGGCACCUGAAACACAAUGACGCGUCAUACCACCCGAGAGAUGCUCGUUCUCAAUGCAGCAUAACUCACUCACCACGUGAAAGUUAUGAUCCAACACCACGUCCGCGUGUCUUGAAAGGGACACCGGCAACACAUGACGUAUCAUACACAUGCUUGUACUGACGCACUACAGGGUUGCUUAAAUAUCGUGCCAAACACAAAACCCUCACACAAAAAUUCCUCUUUUUAC